CCUCAGCUUCCGGAGCAGCUGGGACUGCUGGCGCCCGCCACUACGCUCGGCUAAUUUUUUUGUGUUUUUAGUAGAGACGGGCUUUCACCGUGUUGGCCUAGCGGUUCUCCAACUCCUGACCUCAUGAUCCCCCCGCCUCAGCCUCCCAAAGUGCUGGGAUUACAAGCGUGAGCCACCGCGACCCGCCAACACUCUUGACAACAGUGCUGUGCUAAGAACUUGGGGGACUUCAAAAAGUUCACCAGUUCCUGUGUCCAUGGGUGAAAAGAUUUUCUACAUCUUUCCUUGACUAGAAACAGAAGUCCUGAAACAAGGUACACCUUCUUGAGGCUUACUUGGUGAGUCUAAUUUGUCUUCUGGCACCACUGUGAAUUUGAAGGCUUACGUCUUCUUCCCUGAUCAUAUGUUUUCUACAUGUCAGGAAUAUAACGUCAGGAGGCCAGAGGCUUUGUCCUGCCUAAUGUGUUAUUUCCACACUGAAUAAAAGCACCUGAGUCCUGGUAAGUGCUCAUAUGAUUGGCUCAAUAAAAGAAUAAUAAAUGAAUUGGAAAGAGGAGACAGUGAAGGAUAUAGGAGAUGUACCUGAUAGCAACUUACUGCCUCUCAGCUCAAAAUUCACCCUUCAAAACCUUUUCUACACCAAUGGAUAGAAUUCCUGUCAGCAUUUCUCUUUUACGUUGAACACAAUGUUAAGCUUCCUCAGUGAAGGACCCUAGAUGGACAUUGCAGGAAGAAGGGACUUCCCCUGUUGGACCUAGAGGUUGUACCAGCAUUGUAGGUGGGAGGACAUCCACUGGCUCUUUGCAAUAGCCAUGUGUCCAUAAAGUAUAGUUUCUCAGCAAUCUCAUUGCCCAGUCUAGGCUUGGCAAUCACCCUCCUGCAGCCUUAUCAACACAUUGCUCGAGGCCUCAAGCCCACAUGGCAUCCUCUCACUCUGUAUGUCCUCAUACCUGACUGAUUCGUCUGUGCCUCAUGUGUUUGCUUCCUGCUUGCCUAGUAACUAUAGAUCAGUUCUGUCUUUGGGAAAUCAGAAAACUUCUGUGCCUUCCAUUGGGAUGCUUCUAUGCCUUCUCCAGUAAAGUGUGAAGUGUAUUUUUGUGGAUAGAGCUCCUUUCCAUGCUUUUCCUUAUUUUGGUCCUCUCCGUCAGGCCUAGGGAGACUUACGGUAUUUUUUAAAAUCUUACAGUUACUCCUUUGUCAUACCUCAGUAAUUAUUUAUGUUAAACUUAUGUUUAAAUCACUGCAGGCAUUUUUUUUUUUCUGAGACAGGGUCUGGCUCUGUCAUCCAGGCUGGUAUGCAGUGGCUUCAGUCAUAGCUCACAUUAGCCUCCAACUCCUAGACUCAAGGGAUCCUCCUGCCUCAGUUUCCCAAGUAGCUGGGACCACAGGCAUGCACCACAGCAUCCAGCUAAAUUAUUAUUAUUUUUUGUAGAAAUAGAGUCACACUAUGUUGUCCAUCCUGCCUUGUACUCCUGGACUCAAGCAAUCCUCCCAUCUUAGGCUCCCAAAGUGCUUGGAUUACAGAUGUGAGCCACCACCCCUGGCUGUUGUUUUAAUCUCCUGAAUACAUCCAAACUGAUUCACAUUUGGUAUCAGAAGUGGUUGGGUUGCAAGAGGUAGAUCUUUGAAAACGGCAUUUUGAGAUUGUUUGGCCAUGCCCUUGAGCUUUAGCAUGGUGCUGAGCUUCCUUUGCCAAUGGGAAAUGGGUGCAAUGUCAUCACAGUUACUUAAGCUACUAGCUGUGGAUUGACAUAAAACACCAACUGAAGCACAUGCUUUGGGAAUUCAAGUGGUUAUUAAACAUGACCAAAUGGCAGGACUGAAUCUGAUAAUGACAGGAAUGUGGGAUGAAAUUUUGUUUUGUGUGCACUUGAGUGCUUAUAGAGUAAACACCAAUCCCAAAUCCAUUAUUUUUCAGCUUAAAUCACAGCCUGAGAACUAGAAUGCUUUAAUGAUAUUUAUAAAAGCAUCUUAUUUCUUAUAGCCACAGGACUGAUAUUGGUGAAAACCAAACACAAAAUUUAAUUGUGUGCAAAGUUACAUUGUUAAAUUAUAACGAUAGGUAAAUCUACACUAUUGUUAACUUUCUCAUGUAAAAGUUAGAACAUUGACAGGAAAAGAAUGGGAUUCCAACAUCUGCAAUGGGGACAUUUGGUUGGAACCAAAUGAAACUGACAAUCUUGAAUCCACAUGCCAUUCCGAGCCUCUCUUAUCAGUGAAAGUGGCUUGUCCUCUGGGGUCCAAGGAGACUGGCUUUUUCCUGCUUGAAAAGCCAUGUGGUAACCACACUUAGAUGCCCUGGGAGGGAAUGCUUAUUCUCUUCAAGAUUGUUUCAUAAGAUUUCCAUUUCACUCAGGCAUUAAUAUAGUGAGAGGAGUACCUACAGCCUUGAAAAGCUUUGUGCUUGGUCUCAUUUUUAGACCCAAUAUGACUGGAAGGAAUUUCAACAUUGGGAUGGGCUCCCUAAUUUUAAUGGGGAUGAUGUGAGCCCAGAAUAGCUAAGCCUAAGGGGCCACACAGUUGUCAAAGACAAGAUGUGGAUGUCAGCUAAUAAAGGGCAGCAGAGACUUACAAAAAAAUUAAAAUGUCUUUGCCCAUAGAAAUCUUUGGUAGUGACUAAUUGAUCACAGAGUUCCUAGGAAAUAAAUAGAUAGGCAUCCUAUCAGACUAUUUCUUGAGCUAUGUAAUGGGAAAGACUCUAAGUCUGGUAUCCAAACAUCUGAUUUGAGUUGUCAUAGUUUUCUCACCCAGUUUCAAGAAAGAAGUCAGUUCACAGAUUCAGAAGCCCUUAAUUGAAAGAUAAGCCAAGCUCCCUUUGAGGAAGGACCCUGCACCACUGCUACAAGUACAUACUGUAAAUCUCCCUCCAAGUUUUCUCCAAAGGGAUCAGCAGCAAAUAUCCCUUUAGAAAACUCAAAUGUUACAUAUUUGAAGAACCAGAGGACAGAGUUUAGGGCAACCAUGGCUACUGGAAAGUAAGGAGAGAAUGUACUAGAAAGAAAGCAGCUGGAGAGGGUAACCCCAAAUCAAAUUUUGCAUAAAAUUUGCAUAAAUCUUUGGCUGAUCCAAGCACAAGGCAAAUUCCAAGCAAAAUGAGACAUGAUUAAAGGGAGAAAUAGACAAUUUCAUAAUCAUAGGUAGAGAUUUUAACUCUCUCUCAGCAAUUGAUAAAACAGACAAACAUCAGUAAAGACCUAGAGAAUUGGAACAACACUAUCAAUUGCCUUUAUCUAAUUGGUACAAAACAGGGGCGUAAUACCCAUUCUUACUACUGUAGAGAAUAUGUUCACCAAGGCAGACCCAAUGCUAGGAUAUAAAAAAAAGUGUUAAUAAACUGAAAAGGAUAAAAAUCUUACAAAGUAUGUAAAUAACGAACUAUGUAAGCAUAGUGCCUAGAACAUUUUGGUACUUAAUUUUAAAAAAUCUGUUGAUUGAGUGAAUUUAUGCAUGAAUAGAUCAGGGAUCUUGGUUAUGUUAAUUAACCUUUUGGCACAAUAUAAAGACACAAUAUAAACUGUGGGAGAUUUGGUAAUAGCAGCCAUGCAGUGGAUGGUAUGAAGUGAUGCCAAGAUCCCCCUUCUGGAAUGAAGGUCUUACUCCCUCUGCUGCUAUAAGCGCUGCCAGGAAAAAAAAAAAAAUCUCUCAAGAGAUCACCUCCACUGUAGAGAGUACUCUUGUUCAAAUUCUGAUAAACUCAAUGACUACUUGAAGUGACUAUUUGGGUGUAAAGAUCCAAACCCUUCACCUUGUCUCAGAAUAAUUCUGAUGGGUCAUCGAGCUUCAGAAUUCCCUGUAGUUUUCACUGAGGCUUCCAUUUAGACUCCAUUAGAAUUCAGUUUCUCCCACUGAUCAAUUCUACUUGCUUCCAUUGCCUUCUGCAGUGUGGUUACCAAGAGUACUCCUAAUGAACCUUUUGUGCACUAAUCUCCAUCUCUUUCUUUUUUCUUUUUCUUUUCUUUUUUUUUUUUUUUUUUUUGAGAUGGAGUCCCGCUCCCACCCAGGCUAGAGUGCAGUGGCACAAUCUCAGCUCAAUGCAAGCUCCACCUCCCGGGUUCACACCAUUCUCCUGCCUCAGCCUCCCGAAUAGCUGGGACUACAGGUGCCUGCCACCAUGCCCAGCUAAUUUUUUUGUAUUUUUAAUAGAGACGGGGUUUCACUGUGUUAGCCAGGAUGGUCUCGGUCUCUUGACCUCGUGAUCCGCCCCCCUCAGCCUCCCAAAGUGCUGGGAUUACAGAUGUGAGCCCCCGCACCCAGCCACUAAUCUCCAUCUCUUUCUAGAGACAACUUGCAACAAACCCUUAAAGAGAAAAGUGCUAAUUGACAGAAUUAAUGUAUCUUCUUGUGAAUUAUCUUCCACUUUCCUAGCCAUUAUGUUGUUGUUAUUAUUGUUGUAAAUUCUUUGCUUCUGCUCUAGAUCCUUGAAGUUACCAAAGAAUCUUCUGAGCAAGCCUUGCUCUAUUGGUUUUCGAUCAUUGCCAUAACAAAUUACCACAAAUUUAAUGGAUUAAAACAGUAUACAUUUAUCACCUCACAGUUCCAUAGGUCAGAGGUCUGGUGGGCUCAACCAAUUUCUUUGAUUUCACAAAGCCGAAAUCAAGGUAGAAGUCACUCUGGGUUCUUAGCUGGAGACUCUUUCCACUAAGAAUCAAAUUCCAAGCUCAUUUGGGAUGUUGGCAGAAUUCAGUUCUUUGUGUUUCUAGUAAUGAAGUACUGUUUCCUUGCUGGCUAUCAGCAGGAAGUGUCUUCUUAAGGCUACCAGCAUUCCUUGUCAUGUUUCCUUCUCCAUCUUCAUAUUCUGAUUUGUCCUGCUGCAUCUCCUCUGACUUUAGCCAGAGUAAGUUCUUUACUUUUAAGGACUCAUGUGAUUAGAUUUGACCUACUGGAGUAAUUUAGGAUAAUCUCUCUGUCGAAGUCUGUAACCUUAAUUACAUCUGAAAAAAAUUUCUUUUGCAUGUAAAUUAACAUUUUCACAGGUUCUGGAGAUUGGGGCAUGAUAUCUUCCUUGGGCCAUUACUUGUCCUGCCACUUGGAAUAGGUGCUUAUAAGCCACCUCUAAGAUAAUGAAUAACUUGCAAUUUGAUCCGUGAUUUACAUAACGUGUAUGUUUUUCCUGUUUGCAAAGGCAUAUGGCAAGGGAGUAAAGCCAAACUUUUUACCACAUGGCAAAAAUAAUUGUAUUUUGCAACAGACUAAAAGCUUAAUGCUAUACAGACUUUGGGUUGGUGGAGUUACUUGAGGAUUUACUCCAGCAAAACAAAAAAAAGAAUGAAAGAAAGAGAAAGAUAAAAAUAUGAAAGAAGCAACAGACCUAUUCCAGAAAUGUAAUGAAAAAAGGCCACGAAGUUUGACAACUAUGUAUUAAAUUUACAAUCAGUCCAAAUUAGACUGGUAGUCAGAUUGAUAUGAGAAGUACAUUUUCAAAAAGAUGUACUAUACCAAAUAAUAUGAGUGCAAAACUCUGGAUGAUUUUAGUAAUAAUGUGAAGACACAUAUUUCUUUUGACAAUUAAAAAAAAGAAAAUGAAUUGGAAACUUCAGGAAACGUCAGAAAAUACAAAAUGCUCUGUAGGAAGUAAUUGUCUAAAUGAGAGGUGAAGCCAGUGGGACUUCCUGGAUUGGAUGGGGACUUGGAGAACUUUUCUGUCUAGCUAAAGGAUUGUAAACACACCAAUCAGUGCUCUGUGUCUAGCUAAAGGAUCGCAAAUGCACCAAUCAGCACUCUGUAAAAAUUCUGUGUCUAGCUAAAGGUUUGUAAAUGCACCAAUCAGCAAUCUGUUAGAAUGCACCAAUCAGUGCUCUGUGUCUAGCUAAAGGUUUGUAGAUGCACCAAUCAGCACUCUGUAAAAACGCAUCAAUCAGCGUUCUGUGUCUAGCUAAAGGUUUGUAGACACAUCAAUCAGCACUCAGUAAAAACGCACCAAUCAGCACUCUGUAAAAUGGACCAGUCAGCGCUCUGUAAAAUGGACCAAUCAGCAGGAUGUGGGCGGAGCCAAUAAGGGAAUAAAAGCUGGCCACCAGAGCCAGCCAGUGGCAACCUGCUUGGGUCCCCUUCCACCCUGUGGAAGCUUUAUUCUUUUGCCCUUCACAAUAAAUCUUGCUGCUGCUUACUCUUUGGGUCUACAUUACCUUUAUGAGCUGUAUCGCUCACCAUGAGGGUCUGCGGCUUCACUCCUGAGGUCAGCGAGACCACGAACCCACUGGGAGGAACAAACAACUCCAGAAGCACAACCUUUAAGAGCUGUAACACUCACUGUGAAGGUCUGUGGCUUCACUCCUGAAGUCAGCGAGACCACGAACCCACCAGAAGGAAGAAACUCCGGACACAUCUGAAAUCUGAAGAAACAAACUCUGGACACACCAUCUUUAAGAACUGUAACACUCACUGCGAGGGUCCCCGACUUCAUUCUUAAAGUCAGUGAGACCAAGAACCCACUGGAAGGAACCAAUUCUGGGCACAUAAAUAUGCAGCAAAAUACAAUAUGGUAUGAUUUUGAGCAAUUGAUGAAUAUGUAGAAAAAUUAUUCAAUCCUGAUGUUUGAAAUAUGCUACUUUGAGUAGCAGCCUUGUAGUGACCUAAAUGUAUUUCUGUAGAUAAAAUUGAACUAUGUGGUACUAUAGUGAAUAAUGUGUGUUACAAUAUAAUAGCAUGCACAAUUGUAUAUAUGAAGUUUAGAACACUUCUACAUUUUAAUAUCUGUAAUAUGAUUAUACUCAUAUAUGUGUACUCAGAUUUUAAAACAUAAUAAAAU
rnacentral:lncRNA from 1 species